rnacentral:rRNA from 1 species
CAGCCGCCGCGGGAAAACGUAGGUGGCGAGCGUUGUCCAGAAUUAUUGGGCGUAAAGCGCGCGCAGGCGGAUAGGUCAGUCUGUCUUAAAAGUUCGGGGCUUAACCCCGUGAUGGGAUGGAAACUGCCAAUCUAGAGUAUCGGAGAGGAAAGUGGAAUUCCUAGUGUAGCGGUGAAAUGCGUAGAUAUUAGGAAGAACACCAGUGGCGAAGGCGGCUUUUUGGCCUGUAACUGACACUGAGGCGCGAAAGCGUGGGGAGCAAACAGGAUUAGAUACCCGGGUAGUCCCUGUCUCUAAUACA